AACGAACGCUGGCGGCAGGCCUAACACAUGCAAGUCGAACGCCCCGCAAGGGGAGUGGCAGACGGGUGAGUAACACGUGGGAACCUUCCCUGUAGUACGGAAUAGCCCAGGGAAACUUGGAGUAAUACCGUAUACGCCCGAAAGGGGAAAGAAUUUCGCUAUAGGAUGGGCCCGCGUAGGAUUAGCUAGUUGGUGGGGUAAUGGCUCACCAAGGCGACGAUCCUUAGCUGGUUUGAGAGAACGACCAGCCACACUGGGACUGAGACACGGCCCAGACUCCUACGGGAGGCAGCAGUGGGGAAUAUUGGACAAUGGGCGCAAGCCUGAUCCAGCCAUGCCGCGUGAGUGAUGAAGGCCUUAGGGUUGUAAAGCUCUUUUGGCGGGGACGAUAAUGACGGUACCCGCAGAAUAAGUCCCGGCUAACUUCGUGCCAGCAGCCGCCGUAAUAC
rnacentral:rRNA from 1 species